rnacentral:tRNA from 1 species
AUUUCUAUGGUGUAAACCAACACUUAAUAUUUUCAUUAUUAAAAUGGGGAUUUCCCCUAGAAAUA